rnacentral:rRNA from 1 species
GGCGGAAUUCGUCGUGUAGCGGUGAAAUGCUUAGAUAUGACGAAGAACUCCGAUUGCGAAGGCAGCUGACGGGAGCGCAACUGACGCUUAAGCUCGAAGGUGCGGGUAUCGAACAGGAUUAGAUACCCUGGUAGUCCGCACAGUAAACGAUGGAUGCCCGCUGUUGGUCCAUUAGGGUCAGCGGCCAAGCGAAAGCAUUAAGCAUCCCACCUGGGGAGUACGCCGGCAACGGUGAAACUCAAAGGAAUUGACGGGGGCCCGCACAAGCGGAGGAACAUGUGGUUUAAUUCGAUGAUACGCGAGGAACCUUACCCGGGCUUGAAUUGCAGAGGAAGGAUUUAGAGAUAAUGACGCCCUUCGGGGUCUCUGUGAAGGUGCUGCAUGGUUGUCGUCAGCUCGUGCCGUGAGGUGUCGGCUUAAGUGCCAUAACGAGCGCAACCCCUCUCUUCAGUUGCCAUCAGGUUAAGCUGGGCACUCUGGAGACACUGCCACCGUAAGGUGUGAGGAAGGUGGGGAUGACGUCAAAUCAGCACGGCCCUUACGUCCGGGGCUACACACGUGUUACAAUGGGGGGUACAGAAGGCCGCUACCCGGCGACGGGAUGCUAAUCUUUAAAACCUCUCUCAGUUCGGAUCGGAGUCUGCAACUCGACUCCGUGAAGCUGGAUUCGCUAGUAAUCGCGCAUCAGCCAUGGCGCGGUGAAUACGUUCCCGGGCCUUGUACACACCGCCCGUCAAGCCAUGAAAGCCGGGGGUGCCUGAAGUCCGUGACCGCAAGGAUCGGCCUAGGGCAAAACUGGUGAUUGGGGCUAAGUCGUAACAAGGUAGCCGUACCGGAAGGUGCGGCUG